AGAGCGAACGCUGGCGGCAGGCUUAACACAUGCAAGUCGAGCGGGCGUAGCAAUACGUCAGCGGCAGACGGGUGAGUAACGCGUGGGAACAUACCUUUUGGUUCGGAACAACACAGGGAAACUUGUGCUAAUACCGAAUAAGCCCUUACGGGGAAAGAUUUAUCGCCGAAAGAUUGGCCCGCGUCUGAUUAGCUUGUUGGUGAGGUAACGGCUCACCAAGGCGACGAUCAGUAGCUGGUCUGAGAGGAUGAUCAGCCACAUUGGGACUGAGACACGGCCCAAAACUCCUACGGGAGGCAGCAGUGGGAAUAUUGGACAAUGGGCGCAAGCCUGAUCCAGCCAUGCCGCGUGAGUGAUGAAGGCCCUAGGUUGUAAAGCUCUUUUGUGCGGGAAGAUAAAUGACGGUACCGCAAGAAAUAAGCCCCGGACUAACUUCGUGCCAGCAGCCGC
rnacentral:rRNA from 1 species